rnacentral:rRNA from 1 species
CUUGGUGACUCUAGCGAGAGGGAAACACCUCUUCCCAUUCCGAACAGAGAAGUUAAGCCUCUCAGCGCUGAUGAUAGUUGGACCUCGCGGUCCUGCGAAAGUAGGUCGUCGCCAAGA